AACGAACGCUGGCGGCAGGCUUAACACAUGCAAGUCGAACGCAUCCUUCGGAGUGAGUGGCAGACGGGUGAGUAACGCGUGGGAACGUGCCCUUCAGUUCGGGAUAACCCAGGGAAACUUGGGCUAAUACCGGAUACGUGCGAGAGCAGAAAGAUUUAUCGCUGAAGGAUCGGCCCGCGUCUGAUUAGCUAGUUGGUGGGGUAAUGGCCCACCAAGGCGACGAUCAGUAGCUGGUCUGAGAGGAUGAUCAGCCACAUUGGGACUGAGACACGGCCCAAACUCCGACGGGAGGCAGCAGUGGGGAAUAUUGGACAAUGGGCGCAAGCCUGAUCCAGCCAUGCCGCGUGAGUGAUGAAGGCCUUAGGGUUGUAAAGCUCUUUCGUCCGGGACGAUAAUGACGGUACCGGAAGAAGAAGCCCCGGCUAACUUCGUGCCAGCAGCCGCCGUAA
rnacentral:rRNA from 1 species